UACGUAGGGUGCGAGCGUUAAUCGGAAUUACUGGGCGUAAGCGUGCGCAGGCGGCUUUGCAAGACAGAUGUGAAAUCCCCGGGCUCAACCUGGGAACUGCAUUUGUGACUGCAAGGCUAGAGUACGGCAGAGGGGGAUGGAAUUCCGCGUGUAGCAGUGAAAUGCGUAGAUAUGCGGAGGAACACCAAUGGCGAAGGCAAUCCCCUGGGCCUGUACUGACGCUCAUGCACGAAAGCGUGGGGAGCAAACAGG
rnacentral:rRNA from 1 species